rnacentral:rRNA from 1 species
UACGUAGGAUGCAAGCGUUGUCCGGAUUUACUGGGCGUAAAGCGCGCGCAGGCGGCAAGGUAAGUAAGGUGUGAAAUCUACCUGCUCAACGGGGUAGGGUGCACUUUAGACUGCUUUGCUUGAGGUCGGUAGAGGGGGGGUGGAAUUGCUGGUGUAGCGGUGAAAUGCGUAGAGAUCAGCAGGAACACCCGUGGCGAAGGCGGCCCCCUGGGCCGUACCUGACGCUGAGGCGGCGAAGGCUAGGGGAGCGAACGGG